rnacentral:rRNA from 1 species
CGCGAGGUGGAGCCAAUCCUAGAAAAGCCGGUCUCAGUUCGGAUUGUAGGCUGCAACUCGCCUACAUGAAGUCGGAAUUGCUAGUAAUCGCGGAUCAGCAUGCCGCGGUGAAUACGUUCCCGGGUCUUGUACACACCGCCCGUCACACCACGAGAGUUUACAACACCCGAAGUCGGUGGGGUAACCCGCAAGGGAGCCAGCCGCCGAAGGUGGGGUAGAUGAUUGGGGUGAAGUCGUAACAAGGUAGCCGUAUCGGAAGGUGCGGCUGGAUCACCUCCUUUCUAUGGAGA